rnacentral:rRNA from 1 species
UGGGGAAUUUUGGACAAUGGGCGCAAGCCUGAUCCAGCCAUGCCGCGUGCGGGAAGAAGGCCUUCGGGUUGUAAACCGCUUUUGUCAGGGAAGAAAAGGUUCUGGUUAAUACCUGGGACUCAUGACGGUACCUGAAGAAUAAGCACCGGCUAACUACGUGCCAGCAGCCGCGGUAAUACGUAGGGUGCAAGCGUUAAUCGGAAUUACUGGGCGUAAAGCGUGCGCAGGCGGUUAUGUAAGACAGAGGUGAAAUCCCCGGGCUCAACCUGGGAACUGCCUUUGUGACUGCAUAGCUAGAGUACGGUAGAGGGGGAUGGAAUUCCGCGUGUAGCAGUGAAAUGCGUAGAUAUGCGGAGGAACACCGAUGGCGAAGGCAAUCCCCUGGACCUGUACUGACGCUCAUGCACGAAAGCGUGGGGAGCAAACAGG